ACUCCUACGGGAGGCAGCAGUGGGGAAUCUUGGACAAUGGGCGCAAGCCUGAUCCAGCCAUGCCGCGUGAGUGAUGAAGGCCCUAGGUCGUAAAGCUCUUUCGCCUGUGAAGAUAAUGACGGUAGCAGGUAAAGAAACCCCGGCUAACUCCGUGCCAGCAGCCGCGGUAAUACGGAGGGGUUAGCGUUGUUCGGAAUUACUGGGGCGUAAAGCGCGCGUAGGCGGAUUAGUCAGUCAGAGGUGAAAUCCCCGGGGCUCAACCCCGGAACUGCCUUUGAUACUGCUAGUCUUGAGUUCGAGAGAGGUAAGUGGAAUUCCGAGUGUAGAGGUGAAAUUCGUAGAUAUUCGGAGGAACACCAGUGGCGAAGGCGGCUUACUGGCUCGAUACUGACGCUGAGGUGCGAAAGUGUGGGGAGCAAACAGGAUUAGAUACCCUGGUAGCGACUGA
rnacentral:rRNA from 1 species